rnacentral:rRNA from 1 species
AAUGAACGUUGGCGGCGUGGAUUAGGCAUGCAAGUCGAGCGCGAUAUGUAGCAAUACAUGGAGAGCGGCGAAAGGGAGAGUAAUACGUAGGUAUCUACCCUCGGGUCUGGGAUAGCAGCGGGAAACUGCUGGUAAUACCAGAUAACGUCUCCGGACCAAAGGUGUGAUUCCACCUGAGGAGGAGCCUACGGCCUAUUAGCUAGUUGGUAGGGUAACGGCCUACCAAGGCAAGAUGGGUAUGGGGUGUGAGAGCAUGCCCCCACUCACUGGGACUGAGACACUGCCCAGACACCUACGGGUGGCUGCGGUCGAGAAUCUUCGGCAAUGGGCGAAAGCCUGACCGAGCGACGCCGCGUGCGGGAUGAAGGCCUUGGGUUGUAAACCGCUGUCGUAGUGGAGGAAAUGUAGGAGAGUUAUCUCUUCUACUUGACUAAUACUAGGAGGAAGGACCGGCUAAUCUCGUGCCAGCAGCCGCGGUAA